rnacentral:miRNA from 1 species
GUCUGUCCUGCACUGGUGACCAGCAUGUAGCUGGGGGACAGGGGAGGCAGGGGCCGGGCCUGCACCCAGAAGGGGACCGUGCAGCUUC